CAAUAAGCGGAAGGAAAAGAAACUAACAAGGAUUCCCCUAGUAACUGCGAGUGAAGCGGGAAAAGCUCAAAUUUAAAAUCUGGUGGUCUUUGGCCAUCCGAGUUGUAAUUUAGAGAAGCGUCUUCCGCGCUGGACCAUGCAUAAGUCUCCUGGAAUGGAGCGUCAUAGAGGGUGAGAAUCCCGUCUUUGGCAUGGACCCCCAGGGCUUCUGUGAUGCGCUCUCAAAGAGUCGAGUUGUUUGGGAAUGCAGCUCAAAAUGGGUGGUGAACUCCAUCUAAAGCUAAAUAUUGGCGAGAGACCGAUAGCGAACAAGUACCGUGAGGGAAAGAUGAAAAGCACUUUGGAAAGAGAGUGAAACAGUACGUGAAAUUGUUGAAAGGGAAACGCUUGAAGUCAGUCGCGUCGACCGAGACUCAGCCUUGCCUUGGCUUGGUGUACUUCUCGGCUGACGGGUCAGCAUCAAUUUUGAUCCUUGGAUAAUGGCAAGGGAAAGGUAGCACCUUUACAGGUGUGUUAUAGUCCUCUGUCGGAUGCAAGGGUUGGGAUUGAGGAACUCAGCAUGCACCUUGUCGGUGUCGGGGCCUUGGCCUACGUUACGUGCUUAGGAUGCUGGCAUAAUGGCUUUAAACGACCCGUC
rnacentral:rRNA from 1 species